GGAGACGCACAACCUGGUGGUGUCGCCGCGGGACACGUACGUCGGCGGCCUCGUGUCCAACCUGCAGGUGGCGGAGCUGAUCGCGUGCGUGGCCAAGAACAGGAGGGCGGCGUACUGCAAGGUGGUGGAGGUCGUUGCCGAGACCACCGCGCCGCUGCUGCCCACGGAGGACCUCCUCGCCAGGGUCCCCUCCGACCCCGGCAGGGCACCGCCCCCAGCUCCCGCGGCUCCGGCCGUCGUUACAGAGGCGCCGAAGGAGCCGCCUCCAGCAGCGGCGGCGGCACCACCACCAGCCGCAGCACCUCCGGCAACGGCAGCGGAACCAGCACCAGUUGCAGCACCCCCAGCACCGUCACCGGCACCAGCUGCGGCAGCAAAAGCAGAGCGGCCGCUCUCGCCAUACGCGGCGUAAGUGAACCGACUGAACUGGUAUCGUGAUGGCCUCAUGGUAAUGGAUGAUCAUUUGCUGAUGCAUUUUGUUGCAUUGCAGGUACGAAGGGUUGAAGCCGCCGUCGUCACCGACACCCAGCUUUAGCAGCGGCACCACCGGCCAGGCAGCGAAGGAGUCGCCCCCUGCGCCGGCACCGGCACCAGCACCAGCACCAGCACCAGCUGCUCCGGCUUCUCCUCCACCUCCUCCGGCUGCUCCUGCUGCUGCAAAGCAACGUCCGCUCUCACCCUAUGCAGCGUAAGCAAACCAACUGAUGUCAAAACCUUGGAACUUCAGUGAAGAAUUUGGCCUCUGAUGGAUCCAUUUAUUCCCGGAUGGCGUACGUCGCAGGUACGAGGGGUUGAAGCCACCGUCUUCCCCAACCCCCAGCAGGAGCAGCAGCAAGAAAAAGGAUGACGGCGAUUCUCCUUCGCCACCGCCCUCCGCCGCCUCUCCGGAUGCGGCGACUACCACCACCACCGCCGAGGCUGCAGCCGAGUCGUCGUCGCCGCUGUUGGAUUCCAACGCCAAUGGCGUUCCUCCCACCGCCGCCCCUGCCACUGCUGAUCCAGGGCGCCCGCUUUCACCAUACGCCAGGUACUAAUUUCUCCCUGCCUCCCUGCUCAGCAGGCUCAUGACAAUGGCAUUCGAAUUCACACGUAUGGUCCAUUCCUCUAUCUGUCUGAUUAAUUGCAACUUAAUUUGCAAGGUACGAAGACCUGAAGCCUCCAACCACGCCAACUCCAUCCGCGCCAAAAGUAUAGAGCGGCCGGCCCGGCGGUUACUUUCAUUUACCUUUUCUUUUCCUGCUCGAUCGGCGGCCUCUGCCCGAGCGCGAGCUCAAGGCACGUGUAUAUGCCAAUUUUCC
rnacentral:lncRNA from 1 species